GCCCGAUGUGGGAUUCGAUCCCAGGUCUCCCGGAUCGCGCCCUGGGCCAAAGGCAGGCGCCAAACCGCUGCGCCACCCAGGGAUCCCUCAGAAGCUUUAAAUAAAUCUAUAAACUCAACCAAAAGUGUACGUGAUCAGGGUGGUAAGAAGAAAGCAAUCUGCUAAACAUCCCUGCCCCUUCCUUCUGGGAACUUUUCAAAGACCCAUCCUCAGUAGUUAUAGGACAAAAUGCUAUAUAUUCAAUAAUCUACAAUUCUUUUAAAACAGAUGAAAGAGUUCUGAUGAUAUAGAAACCUUCAUAAGAGUAGUUUAUUUUGGUAAAGGAAGUCGUGGUCUGUGCCAAGUGUUUUCAGUAUACUAUCUAUCUAGUUUAGUUCUCAUAAUAACUACCACAAUACUGAGGAGUUACUAUUUUCCCCAGUUUUAGAAAUAAAGAACAUCUCUAAAAGUAAUAAUUUGUUUAUUAAGAAUUUUAAUGCAUUAUUUCAUUUAGUCUUGAUGACAGAACUCUGAGAUGGGAGGAUUCUAUUCUUAUCCCCAUUUUACAGAUGAGAAAAAUGAAGCACAGAGAAGCUAAAUAAUUUGUUGAAGAUCACACAGCUUGGCAAGUCAUCCCAGCAGUCUGGUACCAGGGCCUAUACUCUGAACCAUUAAGCUUCACUGACCAGUGAAGCAGGAAAAGGAAAAGUACAACUGCUAGAUUUAGUAAAUAAAAAUAUGACAUCCAGUUAAAUAUGGCUUUCAGGGUCCCGCUGGCUGCACGUACAGACAGAAUUGGAGGGAAGUCAGAGUGGAAGUAAGGAUACUUCUUAACAUUAAAACUGCAGCAGUCAGGCAAGUUUUGCCUUGACUGACUGCUGGCUGGAGCCUGGGUGGGGUCUGAGGAGAAGGCAGGAGGGAACAGGAUGUUAGAAAUAUAUUGCAAGAUUACACUGACAGGAUUUGAUGAUGAAAUAAGAGUAAGAGGAAGAUUUAAAGCUGACCCUCAACACAGCAAAGACAGUGAUGAUCUACACCUAUACGCAAAAAUCUGAUGAAUCUCACAAAUGAUGUCAAAUUAAAGAGCCAGAGAAACAAACAGAAGAAUACCUCCCUGCAGCUACCAUCACCUCCUCUCUCUGGAACUGCUGGGUGACAGGCCAGGACCUAUUUUGUGUCACCUUACUAUCCCUAAGGCUGUCUGCCUUCCAAAGUCAAAAGAACCAACAUGGAAAAAUCAAAAUGUAAGGUUUGAAUAAGUAAGAGAAAAACCAACCAAUGAAGACAUUUAUGUUUAACACCUUGGAUGUUCAAGAAACUGCUUAGAGCAGGACACAAAUGGGACAUGCCUCCUCUAGCAUUAUUUUUAAUGUAACAUAAUCUGAACAUUCUGGUCUACAGAUCAAGGGAAGUGAAAAAAAGAGAAUUCAUAAGUUAUCUGUAAAGGCGGAAAUGCUUAGUGUGAAUAUAUGAUGCAAGACCCUCUUAUACCAAAGGAAACUCUGAGAAAUAUUACUUUGAAUUUCCUGCUUAUUUUAUCCCCACUGUAUCAAAAAUUUUUUAGCUGCUGGUAUUAAGAUCAAAAUAGAUUUUUUGGCCCCAAGCAGAAAGCUUCUAGUCAGGAAAACAAAUGCCAGUCUUUUAAAUUAUCUGAGAGUUAGAAUUAGUUUGAAUAAGGAGCCUAAGUCUUUCAGCUGAGGAAAAUACAUUUGAAUGUGGGAGAUCACCUCAGGACAUUGAGAAUUUCCCACGGAAAUAUCCGACAAAAAGCAGGGAGAAAACAAAAUUUCCAGUUGAAAUGGGAAACAAAGUAUGACGAGAACAAAGAGUUGAGUGUGUGCUUUGGUAGCUUAGUUUGGUAAUUCAUUUCAAAGGCAGAUGAGAGGAAACUGCUUAAGCAAAAUUGUCUUAUUGUUCUGACAGUUCCCACGCUGAAUCAGAAAUCUUUGUCACCUCAAUUCUAUAAAGGAGAAAAGUUAUCUUUAUUAGGACAGGAAAAAAAUGUUCUCCUAUCCGCUUUAGGUGAAGUAUGAAGUUGAUCAUUUUUAGAAUUUGGUACAUUUGCUUCAUUUUUCAUAUUGGUCUUCAAGAAAACAAAAAGAAAGAAGAAGAAAACAAGACUAUAAAUCCUCAAAGAGAAGAUAGGAAGAUUUCAUAAGCUAGAGAGAGACUAACAUACCAUGACCCCAUUUUACUUGUAACAUUGAACGUCGUGAGCUUGAAUCUCUUAUGCACUUGCUGAUUUUAAGCAGAAUCUCAGGAAAGCAGAUCUGAGGGGAAGUAGACAACUGAGAGGAGCUUGCCUAAUGCCCCUCCGGAUUGCAGCCCCUGUGCCGCCAGCUGCUGGGAGUGCUGGUGGCUUAGGGCUCUCAUUUGAGUCCCUCUCUGCAGAUCAUUCUCAGCUGAACAAAAGCCAGCUCACUCAAGGUCAUGCUCUCUUCCCAGGCAGCCUACACCCAGUGACUGGUCUGGAUGGUAUAUAAAAGUCCAACACUACCCCUGAAAUUUAGAAAAAUUCUAAAAGGCUUCAGUGUCAGUGCUCCCCAUGGAGUCACCUUCAUCAAGAUGCCAUUAUGGUUCAACUUCUUCCUUGGCAGAGUCCUGCCGCUUUUCCUUCUCAUCUAAAGGUGUAAAACUUGAAAGUACUCCCUGAUGAACUAUCUGCUGAACUCAGAGUCAGCUUCCCAGGGAACAUAACUGGGAUGUUGUCAUUACCAGUGUUUUCAUUUUAUGUUUAUUGUCUUACAUAUAAGAGUGAGGGACAGGAGGUUCUUAAGCCUGACUCCCAAUUAAUCAUCUUUCAUCACUUUGGAGAAUUCGAAGGAUGGGGAUUGCAGGACAUUCCACUUAGGGAAACAUUCAGAAUCAACUUCAUUUGAUUACAAACCAAGGCAAUUGCCAGUCUAUAAAUUAAUCACUACAAAAACAAGGAAUUAAAUCAUGAUACUGCCCUCCCUCCUAAAAUCCUCUCUUCCUCUGGCCACGAGGAUGUGAAAUUGUCUGUCUCCCCUCCUACCUUCAUGACCAAUCUUGUGUGCUUUUUAUUCUUCUUUAUUAAUGAAUAAUAAAUUACCCAAAGGUAUGCACAAAUUAGUGAAAGCAUUCAUUGUGAUACACAGCCAUUAAAAUGUCUCCUUUCUCAACAUUUCCAUCAAUGGUAAAAAUAAAAGAAUAUCUGAGUAAACCAUUCCUUAGUUAACAGCUAUACAUUGAACAUCUCCUAUGAACCAUAGGUGGUUUAGAGUUUGGGAAAGAAAAAUGAGAAAGAAAUAUCUCUUCCCUUAAGAAAUUUAACAUCUAGUACAAAGAGUUGCCUAACAAACCCAACACCUCUUUUUUUAAAACAAAUAUUUUGCGAUGCCAUCGUUAUGAUUCUGAUAUAAAAUUCAUAGGUAACUUACCUACAAAUUCAAAAAACCAGUAUAAUGCCCUAAUUAUAUCUAAAUUAUAAAAUAUAAUUGUAAUUUAUUUUACAAUUGUAAAAUAUAAACAAACAAAAAGAAAGCAAGUAGUAAUUUUUUUAAAUAUGGCUUGAUAUGUAGCUGCUAUAACAAUAAUCAGAUGCUAUGCCUUACAUAGCAGCACCCUUCAAUCUUUAUGACAACCAAAUACUUCCCCAAAAUUUCUAAAAUGCUACCAGGAGUGGUUCUGCUUUCAUUGAAAACUACUAAUUUAAUCAUUUAAGAGAAGAGAAAGAAAUUAUUUCUAUGAAUUUGAAAGAUGGCAUCUAACUCUAAUAUUUCAAAAAUAAUGCAUGGAACUUAUGCAUCUUUGUUCUAAACAGAAUAAGGCUAGACAUAUUCAAAUAACACCAUGUUAUAGGCUGAAUGUAUCCCAGAGAAAUUCAAAUGUUGAAGCCCUGUACCUUAGAACGUGACUGUAUUAGGAGUUAGUGCCUUUGAAGAGGUGAUUAAGUUAACAUGAGGUCAUUAUGGUGGGCCCUAAUCCGAUUAACUAGUGUCCUUAAGAGAAGAUCAGGACACAGAAAACUCAGGCAGAAGGACAACCAUGUGAGUAUAUAGUGAGAAGGCAGCCAAGUACAAGCCAAGGAGGGAGGCCUCAGGAGAAAUUAACCCUGUGGGCACCUGAUCUUGAACUUCCAGCCUGCAGAACUAUGAGAAAAUAAAUUUCUGUUGUUUUA